CCUUGCUCACGUCCUCUCUCUCUCUCUCUCAAAAGAAUAACAUAAUAAGGAAAUAUGAGUUUCCCCCCAGCAAAUCAAGGGGGAAGGUUUAAGAACACCCAGUGCUGACGAGAACACAGUAGAACGGGCACUAUUAUUCAGUGCUAAGGGGACUGUGAAUUGGUGUAACCUAUUUGAAAAGUAGUACAAUAGUCAAAGAGAAGGAGAGAGGUGAACAUUUCAAGAAAGGGCAAGUAGCCUAUGUAUUUAUACAACAUGUAUUGUCUUCUUUGUCUUCAAUUGUCUUCAGGCAUGGUGCUAGGUAUUAAAAUACGAAGAUAAAUAAGAUAUGGCAUAUCUUGGGCAUAUGGUCAAAGGGUUAAGACACACAGAUACUAAAAUGAUGUGUAAUAAGAAGGCCAGAGGUGUGCUUGAAACGUGGGCAAAGCAGGGAGCAGCUGGGAUGGGUGGUAUGUAUGUGAGGCUUUCUGGGAGUAUCUGGGGGGUUCCUAGAAGAGCUGCCCAGAUGAACAGGAGUUAGUCAGAGGGCAGAGCAGAAGUAAGCAUCAUGGACGAGCUCAUGGACAGUUCAGGGUCACCAGAGCAUGAGAGUAAGGAACGGGAUGGAGAAGGUGGGACCGGAUCGCACAGUGCCGUGUCUGUCUAACUGUCUAACUGAAGACUUGGUUCUUUUUCCUCUUGACAAGAGGGGGCCUCUGAAGCAUUUUGAGCAGGCCGGUGCCAUGGUCAGAUUUCUGUUUUAAGGUGGUUACUCUGAUUGCCUGGAGACAUUUGGAGGGGCAAAGGCUAAUGAGGGGAUGAUCGCCUUGGUCCAAGUCGAGAGGGCAAGACCUGAAUUAGGGCUGGGCCAAGAGGAUGGAGAGAAGGUAGAAUUAGAGAAACCUGCUGACUGAUGGUGGCUGAGUUAAAGAAGGAGAGUCAAGGAUGCCUUCCCCAUUUCUGUCUUGAGAAACUGCAUGGAUGGGAGAAUACCCCAGAGAAAGGACAGACUUAGGGGCUGGAGGAAGGCUGUCGAGCUCAGUUUUGGACAGGUUGAGUGAAAGGUGGGCGUCCCGGUGGAGGUAGCCUAUGAGGGGCUAGGCAGAAGGUUUGGAUCCAGCAGGAGAUUUAACAGAAGAUUUGGUUUAUAACUGAUUGUGACUGUAGCCGCGGGCUUUGGUGAGCUGGGCCUUGGAGAAAUGGCAGCUAAGAAGAGAAAGGGAUCCAGGCAGAGAACCUAUUCCCCAUGUAAGGGGUGGGCAGAGAGAAAGAUGAGCCCACGAAGGCAAAAAGUCAGAAAAAGGUAGAAGAAGCACCUGGUUGACAUGCCAACUCAGGGAUGUGGAGUAUUUCCAGGAGGGAACACUCAACAGACAACAGAGAAAAGCCAGUUAGAUAAGGACUGAGAGCCCACGGCAUGGAGUGACUGCGGGCUGCUGGAUCCUCACAGGGGCAGUUUCCUGUGAGAAACGGGGCAGAAGCCCCGCAAGGAGAGCGGAAUAAAAUGAAAGAGGAAGGAAAAGGCGCCAGCAUGGCCCUCUGUCUGGAGAAGUCUGGGAUGCUGGGAAGAAGUACUCGAGUUACGAUUUGGGUUAAGGAGAAUCUCGGAGCUGGGCCGAGAGGAAAUAAGGAUAGAUACGACAGAAGAGAGGUGGAAAGGGCUGUCGCCUAAUGCGCUUCUGUCGGUAGCAAUCAGAGGUGAGAUCUAAGGACAAGGUCAGUAGGGAAGAAAAAGGUCCACUGGUGACCUUGACUAGAGCUGCUGUCAAGUAGGAGGAUAUAUAUGCCAGCUGGGAGCCCACAGAGGAAGUGUGGGCAUGUCCUGGGAGGGACAGAUGGAGAACUCGGGAUGAGCUGGAAGGAGGUGCAGAGUUCACAGGGCAGGGCCGGACACUGAGCUGUGACUGACCCUUUAGGAAUGGAUGCAGGCCGAGGACCUGCCAAGGAGACUGAGCAGGAGGGGCUAAAGGAGAAGACCAGAAAAGUAAUGGUCCCAGAAGCCCAGGGAGCUGAGAGUUCCCACAGGUCAGGGUGGCUACUGGUGGACCAGAUGCACAGAGGUCAGGGGAGAUGAGGGCAUCCCCCAGACCUGGUCUUGGGCACUUUUGCCACAGCAACUUCGGGGGGAGGGACCAGGAGCCCGCCAGCUGGGGGAUGAUCUGGAGUCUGGCUGAGAAAGUGGGAGGAAGGAAAGGGACCUGGGGGGGGGUCUCCUGCCUCACCCUGGGGUGGGGUGCAGCAGGUCUCAGGAAGGUGCUGUGCCUUACCCGCUGUCAUUUGGACAGAAGAGGGCUAUGGGAACUGAGUUUGAAGGGCAGCAACGAGUUUGGAGGGCAUGCAAGGGGCCCCAGAGCGGCGGGAUUAAGUGUAGAUGGGAAAGGAUUAGCCGUGUUGGUGGAAAGGAGCAAAAUUAAAUCAUGUACAUUUUACGAGGUAAGCUGAUCUCCAUGUUCUUCUGGAGGCUUUUGCUCUGCCCUCUGGGUAGCGACUACAGCUCUAAUUAGCAGUGGUUUCAUCCUGCCUGUGUCUGGGGCCAUGUCUUCCUCAGUUUUUGUACCUUUCGGCACCUAGCAACAGGCAGCGAGCGAGGUAGAGGCAGAAUCAUUAUUUUCCGCUUGAAAUCAAACGUCUGAAAUUGAGGUUCAGAAUUCUGUUUCAUCACAGAGAUUUUGUGACAAUUCCCAGGGAAUCCGUGAACAAGGAAAUAUAGUUCAAGGUUGAGGCUGUCAUGGAUGUGAGACUGUCUGCGUCCCAGUAAAUGCAAGCUGUACUCCUCUGUGGGCACAGCUCUUUGCAGUUUACAUGGUGGAUCAUUACAUUUGUCUCCUUUGGUCAUCGCAACCCUGUCCUCCCACCCCUGGUGAGGCACACCGCUGCCAUUAGCCCCAUGUCACUUAGGAAAUUGAGACGGAGAGAGGCAGGUUGGAAGGAGAGAGUGAUGGGCAGUGACGUGGAUGGAGACUGGGCACAAUCCUCCACGCUACAUGCACAGCCCACCAGCACGCAGUGGUUGUAUCUCCUAGACAUGGAGUCAUUCUCUUUCCUUCAUAUUUGAACAGGAGUCAAAAAUCAAACAGAGCUUUGCUCUAACCAGCUGAGCUCUGGCCUAGUUCCACCACUGACAACACCUGGCUUUUGUGUACAGGAGCAGACCAGGUCCCACCACAGCCACAUAAACUAGAGAACAGAACAUUUCCCUACAUACUGUAACAAGGGGAGUGAGGAGGAAUGAGGGACGCCAGAAAGCCCAAACCCCGAGACAUCCAUUACAUGAAGUAACCAGCCCAGAGACAGAGAGACAGAUCUGAUAGAAAGCCGUGGUCCAGAUGAGAGACAGAGGGGCCUGAACUGGACCAGUGAAGAUGGACAGAAAUAGAUCAGAAACUCACAGUAGCUAAAACCCAGAAAUAAUUGGUGUAGGAUUCACUCUCAGGUAAGAGAGGGCAAAGAUGAGGGUGACUCCCGUGUGUCUGGGUGGGCCCUGGGUAAGUGGGGGGAAGGCCCCUGUGUAUGAGGAACACAGCAUGGAGAGCCAGUGUGAGGGGCAGGACAGUGGACUCAGAUACAGCCAAGGGGUCAGGGUCACAGCCAAGUGGAGCCCAGCAGGCACUUGGAUCCGGGGUCUGGAGCUCAGGAAGAGAUUGGACUGGAAGUACUGGCCCAGGACCAUGGCUACUCAGAGAGUAAUGGGAAGCCCGAGAAUGAGUGAGAUCACCAGAGACAGAAUGGGACAGGGCCCAGGGUAGAAUCAUGAGUUACAGUGACCUGUGAGGAAUCAGUCAAGGUGUGAGCAGGUGACAAAGGCAAAGAGAAGGAAGGACCUCAGAGAUGAGGACAAACAGCUACGAGGAGGGUUGCCGGGGCAACCAAGGUAGCGAGGCAUUCCAGGGAGAAAGUAAUCAACAUUGUCGAACACGGCAGAGAAUUCCAAAAAAGACGGACUUUUUGUUUCCUUUGAUCUCAUUAUUAGUAAGUUUUUAUUGACCUUAAUAAAAGCAUUUUGGGGGAGUAAUAGGGCAUAAACUGAACUAAGGUUCAGAUGUGAGGGGGAGGUGAUUCUGUCACUAAGAGCCCUUUGAGGAGUCUGGAAGGAAGACUUGGAGAGGUGAAGGAUUAGGGGCAGAGAGUUUGAGCGUGGGAAAGAUAUGAGCAAGUUUAUAGGCAGACAUCAGCUCCCAGAUGCAACAAGCAUUGUUGAGUGACAUAAUUUUUUCAUUCUACACAUUCUAAUUUAAUGCCUAUUAUGUGCCUGGCAGAUUGCCUAGCAGCGUGGAUAUUUGGUAAAUGAAUUAGAAUCCCUGUUCCCAUGGAAGUUGCGCGGUAGGAGAGGAAAAAGACAGGAAUGAAAUAACGGGCACACACUGAUACGCAACAUGAAUGGGCACUCUGAAGGAGAGGAACUAAGUGCUGGAGGGUGUCCAACAAGGGGACCUGUCCUAGGCUGACUCCAGGAGCCUUCCCUGUGGAGGUGACACUUGAACCAAGCUGUUCAGAAGGGAAAGGAGUUAAAUGGACAGAGUAAACUGGGGAAAAGCAUUCUGGGCAGAGGGAACAGCCUGUGCAAAAGGAGAAGAGGUGAGACCAGAAAGGCAGGCAGUGCUGGUUGAGCAGGCUCUUGGAAGCCAGGACUGAGACCUGCUCUGGUAUGUCACUGCCACCUGAGACUGGUUAUGCUAUGGAGAAAUCAGAAGGAGCACAAGGAGACUUAGGGAGACCAGUUAAGAAGUGUCUGGGUCAUGGUAGACAGAAUUUGGGUAGUCAGCAUAAUCUGAUUAGUCUUGGUGCUGAUGGAAUGAAGUAGGAGUAGGGCAAGGAAAGGAGGAGGGAUUCAGAAUGACCCCUGCAUUUCUGGCUUGUCGUAUGGAUGAGGUGGCAGUGCCAUUCUCAGAAUUGGAAACUCCUAAAAAGGGACAGGGUCUGUGAGGCCGACCCCAACUCUGGUAGUACACAGCUAAGACAUCCAAGUGGAGAUGGGAAGGAAGUGGCUGAACACCUAUAUCCAGAGCAUAGAGUGAGAAAUUACAGAGAUGGGCUCAGAGCUCCCGAGGGAUCCCAAAUGUGAAUUAAAGCAGUGUCAGGUUUCUGGAACAUUCUGAGGCUAUGAAAGGUGGCUGAGGAAGAAGAGGCAUGAAAUAGAGCCCAAGAAGCACCAACACUUGGGAGCUGUAAAAGGAAAGAAGAAGAAUCCUAGGACACUGAAGAGAAAGGACCAGGGAGGCCUUUCAAACCAGAAGGAUGACGUGGUCAGCAGAGAGGUCAGGUGGGGGGUAUGUGUGGCUGAUCUGUGGGCCCCUCUCAUGUCCAACUGCCCAGUUGCCAUGGUGGCCCUGAUGAUCAGCACCCACCAGGGCCCGUGCUCUGAGACCUUUUGGGGACUUCGACCAAGGCAGCUUGGGUGGGGGUCCAUUAAGGAAGAGGGAACAAAGUCUAAGUCCUUUUCAUUUUAAUCUUAAAGGAGAGCAAUGCUGGUGUAUGAAUAUUCUGAGCAAAGCAAGCCUGAGUGAUGAAGCGAUUAAGAGCGGAGACAAUUAGCGUGAAAUGAGCUCCCGAAGGGGCCGGGAUCAAGUCCAGAGGUGGAGAAAUUCACUGGGGGCCGUAAUGUGUAUUGGACCGAAUGGGGCAAAAUGAAAUUAUUUACCUUUUAGAGAGUGACUUGAUCUCCAUGUUCUUUUGGGAGCUUUAAUCUGACCUGUGUACUGACUACAGUGCUAAUUAGGUCAGUUUUAUCCUGUCUUGUGGCUGGGUUUGUGUCUUCGUUUUCUUGUUUCUCAGCACCUAACGACAGGCAGUAAGCUCUUUGGGUGCCAAACCAGUAUUUUCUGCCUUGGAAUCAAAUAUCUGAAGUCAACACUCAAACUCUCUGACCAAAGAGACUAUGUGACAAUUCUCCAGAAGUUACAAUGCAGGAAAGAACUGGGGCAUGAAGUCAUGGGGUUUGGGUGAAUGGAGGGGAGAGCGGAGGUACCAGUCCCCUCAUCCUUGUAAGCUCUGUGCCAUUUGUGUAUAUUCGCAUUCCUCAUCCCAACUGAACCUCACAUCCCCCCACAAGAUAAAGCAUGACCCAAUUUCAGAGAGGAGGAAACAGACGCAGAAGAGGAAGUGCCUUACUGACACAGAGCACAAGCAGCGGGGGCUCGAUUCAGAACUCAGAGCAGCUAGUGUAACAGUCCUUCCCACGACCAAGCUGAGCCAGAGAGAAAGAGGGAGAGAGAGGGGGUCCAGGAGCCGGAGGUGGAGAUGCUCCACGGGUACGUGCAGAGGGGUGGACGCGCAGUCCAACUCCAGACCUACCGGAUAUUAAAGCAUCAAAUCCAACUGCAGUGAUGAAAUCUACAGUGUGAGAACAAGAGCGAGGAGCGUUGUUGUUUAAACCUCCCCACCGCAUGAAUGAUGUGUACAUUCUCUAUUUGCAUCUCAAGCUUCCGUAUUCUUAAAAACUUAAGUCUUUAAUCCAUCUGAAAUGUGUUUUUGCGUAUGGUGUGACACAGAGAUCUGAUCUGAUCUUUUUCCAGAUGGAUAACCAGCUUGCUAAGCACUAUUUAUUGUCCCAACACCAUCUUUUCUCCCAGUUCCCUAUGUCUAGACUCUAUUCAGAUCUGUUGAUCUGUUCAUCUACUUCUGGGCCAAUACCAGACUUGAAUGAGCAGAGCUUUCUCUAACUGCCUGAUAAGACAUGGUGUGUUCACACCGGAGGUAUAGCUUAUUGAAGCCGGCGACUGGAGGACAUAACCGAUUACACCACGUAUCCAGGCACAAAUGAGGUCGCCUCCAUUUCGUUCCUCCGUCAUAAGAAGCGCUGCAGAGAACAGCCUUGCACGUGCCGGCUCUGUAAUUUUUCUCUAGGAUUGAGAAUGGACUUUGGGGUCUCAAGGUGUCCACAAAACUUAGUCCACAAAACUAUUUGUAGUUUUAACAGACACUACCGAUGUGUCCUCCUUAAUUUCUGUACCAUUUAAACUUGCAGUAAGAGGAUAGGCGAGGACGCAAAUCCCCACACCAUAAGCAGCUGUUUUAAAUAUUUGCCCAUCUGAUGGACGAAAAACGGAAGCUUUUUUUUUUUUUUAAUAUUUCUGUACACCUGUUUGCAAGUGAGAUUUUCCUGGACACUGCUGUUUGUGUUUUCCCUUUUCUGAAUUAUCUGUUUGGUUUUGCUCAUUAAAAAAAUUAGAUGGUUUGUCUUUAUCGUAUUGAUUUGUGGAAUUUCCUAAUCUAAUCUGGAUAGUAAUCUCUUGUAUAUACACAGCAAAUAUUUUCUUCCAGCUCCUCUGUGGCCUUUAACUCUUUGUAGGCUCCUUUAGACAGAAGUUUGACCUAAUCAAAUGUAUCAGUCUUUUCCUUUAUUCCUUUUACAUAUAUAUCACACUUGUGCCUUUCUCACUCCUACAUUUAAACAUAUUGUGU